rnacentral:rRNA from 1 species
CCUACGGGUGGCAGCAGUGAGGAAUAUUGGUCAAUGGACGAGAGUCUGAACCAGCCAAGUAGCGUGAAGGAUGACUGCCCUAUGGGUUGUAAACUUCUUUUAUAUGGGAAUAAACUGUUCCACGUGUGGGAUUUUGUAUGUACCAUAUGAAUAAGGCUCGGCUAACUCCGUGCCAGCAGCCGCGGUAAUACGGAGGAUCCGAGCGUUAUCCGGAUUUAUUGGGUUUAAAGGGAGCGUAGGUGGAUUGUUAAGUCAGUUGUGAAAGUUUGCGGCUCAACCGUAAAAUUGCAGUUGAAACUGGCAGUCUUGAGUACAGUAGAGGUGGGCGGAAUUCAUGGUGUAGCGGUGAAAUGCUUAGAUAUCACGAAGAACUCCGAUUGCGAAGGCAGUUCACUGGACUGCAACUGACACUGAGGCUCGAAAGUGUGGGUAUCAAACAGGAUUAGAUACCCUAGUAGUC